UGGGAACCCAGGGUCUUAACCCCAGCCAUUCCCCCUCCCAGGGGCCACUUCCCUCUGAAGCUUAGCCCAGCUCUGUGACCCCCACAGGCCUGCCCCCACCUGGUCCUCACUCCCCUGCAUAGCCACACUGUGGGGGCUCCAUGCUUCCCAGCCCAUAGGAAGCCCUGUUCCCAGAGGGGGCCAUUCUGUUUUAGUUGGAGCAGUGGCCAGAGGCAAAGGUCAGAAGGCAAAGGUCAUAAAAGUUUGUCUCUACCUGCCAGCAUCUGCUCCUGCUACUGCAUCUUCUCCCCUCUCCACCCAAACCCUCCCUCAGCUCCUGCCCCCACCUCUCCAGAGGCACAGACAACAGGGUUCUGAUCUUGGGUCAUGGUGCUCCCCCUGCCAGCCUCAGUCCGAGACCUCUGUGAAUGGCGGUGAUGGCUAAUGGGAUGAGGGGGACCACCUCCUGGUGGCUGCAGGGACUGGGGUGAGGGUGCUGUAGGCUCUGCCUAAGUCAAGUGCCAUGGGGCUGAAGAGACGGCGCACCGGCCCUGGAGAAGAGUCCUCCCUGCCCUCCUGUGUCUGGCCUUGUUUCCUGGAGGACAGGUCCCCACGGGGCAGAGGCCCAGCAGUCCCAGAUUCAGCAAGAACUCUGCUAAGUCAGUUUGGCAAGAAGCCUCCAUCCCCCCAUAUCUGAUCAGGGUCCUCAGCCUCCGCCACCCCCAGGCGAUGUCUGCUUACCUUGCCUGCCUUCAGCAAGCUUCCUUUUACCUGGGUAGGGUCCUCAGCUUCCACCACCCCCAGGCGACGUCUGCUCACCCUGGCUGCCCGCAGCAAGAUUCCUGUUAUCUGGGUAGAGUCCUCAGCCUCCGCCACCCCCAGGCGAUGUCUGCUCACCUUGCCUGCCUUAAGCAAGAUUCCUGUUACCUGGGUAGAGUCCUCAGCCUCUGCUACCCACAGGCAAUGUCUGCUCACCCUGCCUGCCUUCAGCAGGCUUCCUUUUACCUGGGUUCCUUAGCCUCUGCCACCUCCAGGCCGUGUCUGCUAACCCUGUCUGCCGUCAGCAAGCUUCGUUUUACCUGGGUAGGUUCCUUAGCCUCUGCCACCUCCAGGCCGUGUCUGCUAACCCUGUCUGCCGUCAGCAAGCUUCAUUUUACCUGGGUAGGGUUCUCAGCCUCCGCCACCCCCAGGCGAUGUCUGCUAACCCUGCCUGCCCU
rnacentral:lncRNA from 1 species